CACAAGCAGCCAAAAGAACCUUUCGGUGAGAAAGUUCCACCCCUUCCUCCUCACGGUCCCCCUUUCUGGGGCCUGACCGGGAUUUGGAACAUUCCGCUUUGCAGCAAUCAAGCAGGCUGCUCUACACAGGAGGGAAGAGAUGCUGUGGUAAAUGAAGCUGUAAGGAGUGUGGGGACCGGAUUUUGGACAGAUGGAACAAGUGGAGUAGUCUUCAUGCUCCUGAUUGGGAACUGAGGCCCAGAUCCACAGAUGUACUCAGAAAGACUUGUGAGCAAUGCUGUGGACCUGCACUACUGAGAAAAGUGUGAACUAUUCAGUCAUUAAAAGACACAAGAAUCCCAAAACUAUCAGUCUCAUAAUCAUCUCCAAGCUAUUGAAGGUAAUCAAAGCCUGAGGAAAGAGAUGUCUGGAUAGGAGAAAGAUGGCACCAGUUUACACCAAAGAUGAACAUGUGGUCUCUAGUCCCAAGAACCAUUGAGGAAUCAAGCCUGUAGUUGUAGGAUGUUCAGAUUAGGAUGGAGCAUUUGACCCGCAUUCUGAGACAACAGUCAAGGUUUGUUCAGGAGCUGCCACAAGAGGGCAAGAGGUGAGUUUGAUGAGGUAAGGAAACCAAACUUGUCUUGGCCAAGUUGGUGCAAUCAAAAUGAUUUUGGUUUUGUCCUGUCUGAUCUCAAUAAGGACCUUUAAGAGCAAUGGAGUUGGAGGAUAUGCAGAGAGAAGACCUUUUGUCCAGUAAUGAGGAAAGCAUCUCCAGAGAUUCAGAAUAAAGCCCCCAUCUGGAACACAAUUUCCUGCACUUUGUGUUGGCUACUGUGGCAAAAAGAUUGACCUCUGGAAAUCCCCAAGCUAGGAAUAUUUUGUUGAGGACUCAGGAGUCCAACUCCCAUUCAAAAUUUAGGGA